CAUAUUGAGGUAAGUGUAACCCAGGUGUCCGCCAUGACCCAAUCACCUUCCCUUUAAGCUGUCCCUUUAAGUUUAUUGUCUUGUGUGCUUCCGGGUUUUGUUUUUUCUUCCCCACCUUGCUGCUACUCACUGUUGGUUGUCAUGUUGGUUGUUUAUAAAACAACCUGGAGUUUCUGAAUCGACUCAUCACUCAUUUAAUCUCUAAAACUUGAAGAUUGCGGUUGUGAUCCAUUGAGAGCUGGUAAACCUUCCUGUUUCGAGCAAGUUAUCAUUUCACCCACCUCCUCAGAUAAUCCGUUACUCGACGGCGAGUAGAUAAUAGGGCGUUAUUUUCGCUCUGCUCCGCCAGUUAGCAUUAGCAUUAGCUCUGAUCCAUCUACAAUCAGUGGCCCACAUCAGUUUAGUCUACUUAUUAAUUACUUACUUAUUGAAGAAUCACACUGUUGCAGCCGAAUUAAAGACCACACCUUUAAUAUUUAAGGGUUUACCUUUCAACUUUAGAUUUGAUUAUUUUUUCCAUGAUUUCUUUAUUGGUGUUGCAGUCCAUGUUGGUGCAGCAAUGAAAUUUGGUACCUAAUAUGAUUUAGUUUGUAGCUACUUUGAUCAAUCACAUUUGUAAGUUGAUUGAUUUGAUUCAAUAUUGGUUGUUUGUAACGACUGCUAAUUAUAUUAUUUAGGCAAUUUUGAACUUGAAUUAUGAAGUGCACUUUUUUAAAAAAGGAUUUAAAUUUUUCUUUUUAUCUUCUCCUUUCUUUUUUAUUUUUUCUAUGAAGUUGUUAAAAUAUAGCAAGUACGUAUUCAAUUGUUUUCUUGUCCCUCCCAUUUAGUUUAUAUAAAUAUAAUGUUUAUAUAUGAACUUAAUGUGUGUUAUCUGGCCUUUUAGGUCAGGUUUUUUUUCCCCUUUGCAUUGACUCAUUUGAUGACGGAAGAUGGCGAGCUACCCACCCACCAUCUGGUGGUAGGAAAAUGGAACUACACUUUCCCUACAGGAAACGAACUAAACUCUGAGUAUUGAAAAGGGAAAAUAAUUAUUUUCUAUUUGUUCUUGGAUCUUUUGUGGACUCUAUUACGUUUGAAGUAUCACUGAUUAUUAUUAUAAUUGUUUUUUGUUGGUUUGUUGUUUUCCUCUUCUGUUUUUUUGGAAAUUUAUUGUUUUGUUGUUUUGGUAUUAUUAUUAUUAUUGCCACUGCAAUAAAUAGCAAUAUUAACAAACUUUACUUUUUUGUAUCAGUUGUAUUAAUUAUUCACCCCACUCAUGACUCCGUGCCGUACCUACUUCUGAUUAUACAAACUGGUUAACACUAAACCUCGCAGUCAAAUCUGCUCAGUUGAGAAAAGCGCUACAUACAGGACAUUUACAUUCUGGAGAAGUUCUUUUUCUGUUCAAGGUCGAAGGGAAUCGUUCUUCAGGAUCUGGUCUAAAUGGACAAACUAUGUAAAAUCAGUAAUUCCUGUGGACUAAAUAUGUUU